rnacentral:tRNA from 1 species
GGGGCUGUCUGCCAACUUGGUUAAGCUACGAGGUUUGGGACCUUGUGAUCUGGGUUCAAAUCCUAGCAGCCUCA